rnacentral:ncRNA from 1 species
CCCGGGGCGCGAGCCCGGGCGGAGCGGCCGUCGGUGCAGAUCUUGGUGGUAGUAGCAAAUAUUCAAAUGAGAACUUUGAAUGACAAAGAAGAGAAAGGUUCCAUGUGAACGACACUUGCACAUGGGUAAAAUGAUCCUAAGGGAUGGGGUAACCCCGAUAGAUAGCACGAUCACGCGCAUCCCCCGAAAGGGAAUCGGGUUAAGAUUUCCCGAGCCGGGAUGUGGC